UACGGAGGGGGCUAGCGUUGUUCGGAAUUACUGGGCGUAAAGCGCACGUAGGCGGCUUUGUAAGUUAGAGGUGAAAGCCCGGAGCUCAACUCCGGAAUUGCCUUUAAGACUGCAUCGCUUGAAUCAUGGAGAGGUGAGUGGAAUUCCGAGUGUAGAGGUGAAAUUCGUAGAUAUUCGCAAGAACACCAGUGGCGAAGGCGGCUCACUGGCCCGAUACUGACGCUGAGGCACGAAAGCGUGGGGAGCAAACAGG
rnacentral:rRNA from 1 species